rfam:Daucus carota subsp. sativus cultivar DH1 chromosome 6, whole genome shotgun sequence.
AGGCUAUGAUUUUAUAUUAUCCGCGCUUCUGAGAGUAAUCAUUGAAGUAUAAAGGAUAAAUAUGGUUGAAUUUCUUGAUAUGAGCCU